UACGGGGGGGGGCAAGCGUUGUUCGGAAUUACUGGGCGUAAAGGGCUCGUAGGCGGCCAACUAAGUCAGACGUGAAAUCCCUCGGCUUAACCGGGGAACUGCGUCUGAUACUGGAUGGCUUGAGUUCGGGAGAGGGAUGCGGAAUUCCAGGUGUAGCGGUGAAAUGCGUAGAGAUCGGGAGGAACACCAGCGGCGAAGGCGGCUUACUGGACAGUUACUGACACUCAACUACGAAAGCGUGGGGAGCAAACAGG
rnacentral:rRNA from 1 species